rnacentral:lncRNA from 1 species
GCAGGAUCAAAUGACCAAGUGUACAAGGAUGCACAACAGUGAAUACAAAAUGCUUCUGAACUUUUCCUGGCCUGUUGUACACAGCUUCCUUUUAGGAGUGCUGUGACAAGUGAACUGUUAUAUCCUGUAAUGUGACAGGGGGGUGACACAAGGCCAAUGAGACUGUCUCCUUCCAGAAGCUUGACCAAAGAGUUAAUUUUCCAGUUGAGAUGCCACUCUCCUGACCCCAGCUUCUAGAGACAGUUGGAUCACCAGUUAGACUUGCCCAGUGGACUUGGCAUCUGGUGUCCCACAGUGGAAGAAGCUGAGACAUAAGGGAUUAAGGUGUGAAGAUGGAGGUAAAAAGUUGGAGAACACCAGAAGAAAAUUAAAUGUAUGAAUCACAGAGAUAUCCUAAAAAUUAAAAGUAAACACACAAACAAAUCAAGGCAGAAGGCGUUUUCAGUGUUGAUCUAAUCCUCUCUCCUGUGCAAGCAACUGAUGAAGAUACAACCAGGGAAAGUGAGAGAGCCCCCUGAGCGCGUGGAGAGCCAAUUCACCUAUGGGGACUCUGGCUUUAAUUAAUCUCCCUGCCUUCUUAGGGUGGCUAAAAGAGGAAAAUCCAGGCUGGAAAACAUCUGUUGCACCGCGGAGGCGGCAGCAAUUCAAGCAUAUCUCGGAACCUGGCAGUUUCACAAAGGAGGAGGAGACCCCAAUGCAAAGUACAAAAAUAAGGAAGAGAAAUAGAACCGAGUGUGCACUUCAGCCAAGAGAGCAGGCAUCAGCCAAAAUCAUGCACAAAAUAAAACCAGUUCUGGACUGUUCUAACCGCACAGCUACUAAUAACCACGGCCUUCCUCAGGGAGAGAACAUCAGUCAAAUAUUCCUCAUUGACACUGGUGUAAAUCCAGCUGCCUCUUCCAGUAUAACUGUUUUCUCUUUGCAGUGCCAGAGAGCACAGAUUUGACCUUGGUAAUUUUAUUAAAAAUAUAUAAAUUUUACAGAAAAAAGAAUCUGCUUCUU